UACGUAGGUGGCGAGCGUUGUCCGGAUUUAUUGGGCGUAAAGGGCGCGCAGGUGGUGCGGUAAGACUGCCGUGAAAUCUCCCGGCUCAACUGGGAGGGGGCGGUGGAGACUGCCGGACUAGAGGCACUCAGAGGCCGGUGGAAUUCCCGGUGUAGUGGUGAAAUGCGUAGAGAUCGGGAGGAACACCAGUGGCGAAGGCGGCCGGCUGGGGGUGACCUGACGCUGAGGCGCGAAAGCGUGGGGAGCGAACCGGAUUAGAUACCCGGGUAGCCCACGUCGUAAACGAUGGCCACUAGCUGUGGGGGGUAUCGACCCCCUCCGUGGCGUAGCAAACGCGGUAAGUGGCCCGCCUGGGGAGUACGGCCGCAAGGCUAAA
rnacentral:rRNA from 1 species